GCAGUGGUGGUGCAGUGGUAGAAUUCUGGCCUUGCAUGCAGGGAACCUGGUUCAAUUCCCAGCCAGUGCA
rnacentral:tRNA from 1 species